rnacentral:lncRNA from 1 species
CUCGCUCCUGUACUGAGCUGCUACGAACCCGGAAGAGCACACUGGGAGCGGGGGGACACGUUCUUCCGCUACCUGCGUAACGUGUCGAUCGGGACCAAGGGCAGUCCUAACAUCGAGUUCCUGCCGGAUGGUACUCUCAAGUACGUCGAGCUCGACAUCCUCAAUCUCAACAAGGAAGGGUACUCGGACAGAAUUGGAGGCUGGACGCAAAAGGGUAUCGACAUCAAAGAUAUCGUCUGGCCUGGAGAAGAGCUGGUCCCGC